UUGUGACUGACUGCCAUGGUUACUACUUGAGGCCAUCACUACAACAGUUACUACUGUUACUGCUUGAGACCAUCAUUAUGACUGAACAAACGGAUAAACACAGAAAUGAUGACAAAAGAAACUAUUUAAAGGAAAGGCUAGCAUGGAGAAGAGGAAGAGAGCUCCCUGCUUCUAGUGAGCAAAGGCAGUCCCCCUUGAGCUUCUACAGCCCUUCUUAUUAGGUAACAAGAGCAACGAGGACGAGAAAACCUAUGCCAACCAUGCUCAGAGGAGAUGUAAUGACAGAGAAAGCUUUAAAGAGAUGUUACAUUAUAAGGACUUGACCUCUGCUUGCUGGGACUGAAGACGGAGAAAUGAGGCAAUAAACCAAG